CGUCGUGAAGAGGGAAACAACCCAGACCGCCAGCUAAGGUCCCAAAGUCAUGGUUAAGUGGGAAACGAUGUGGGAAGGCCCAGACAGCCAGGAUGUUGGCUUAGAAGCAGCCAUCAUUUAAAGAAAGCGUAAUAGCUCACUGGUCGAGUCGGCCUGCGCGGAAGAUGUAACGGGGCUAAACCAUGCACCGAAGCUGCGGCAGCGACACUAUGUGUUGUUGGGUAGGGGAGCGUUCUGUAAGCCUGUGAAGGUGGCCUGUGAGGGUUGCUGGAGGUAUCAGAAGUGCGAAUGCUGACAUAAGUAACGAUAAAGCGGGUGAAAAGCCCGCUCGCCGGAAGACCAAGGGUUCCUGUCCAACGUUAAUCGGGGCAGGGUGAGUCGACCCCUAAGGCGAGGCCGAAAGGCGUAGUCGAUGGGAAACAGGUUAAUAUUCCUGUACUUGGUGUUACUGCGAAGGGGGGACGGAGAAGGCUAUGUUGGCCGGGCGACGGUUGUCCCGGUUUAAGCGUGUAGGCUGGUUUUCCAGGCAAAUCCGGAAAACCAAGGCUGAGGCGUGAUGACGAGGCACUACGGUGCUGAAGCGACAAAUGCCCUGCUUCCAGGAAAAGCCUCUAAGCAUCAGGUAACAUCAAAUCGUACCCCAAACCGACACAGGUGGUCAGGUAGAGAAUACCAAGGCGCUUGAGAGAACUCGGGUGAAGGAACUAGGCAAAAUGGUGCCGUAACUUCGGGAGAAGGCACGCUGAUAUGUAGGUGAAGCGACUUGCUCGUGGAGCUGAAAUCAGUCGAAGAUACCAGCUGGCUGCAACUGUUUAUUAAAAACACAGCACUGUGCAAACACGAAAGUGGACGUAUACGGUGUGACGCCUGCCCGGUGCCGGAAGGUUAAUUGAUGGGGUUAGCGGUAACGCGAAGCUCUUGAUCGAAGCCCCGGUAAACGGCGGCCGUAACUAUAACGGUCCUAAGGUAGCGAAAUUCCUUGUCGGGUAAGUUCCGACCUGCACGAAUGGCGUAAUGAUGGCCAGGCUGUCUCCACCCGAGACUCAGUGAAAUUGAACUCGCUGUGAAGAUGCAGUGUACCCGCGGCAAGACGGAAAGACCCCGUGAACCUUUACUAUAGCUUGACACUGAACAUUGAGCCUUGAUGUGUAGGAUAGGUGGGAGGCUUUGAAGUGUGGACGCCAGUCUGCAUGGAGCCGACCUUGAAAUACCACCCUUUAAUGUUUGAUGUUCUAACGUUGGCCCGUAAUCCGGGUUGCGGACAGUGUCUGGUGGGUAGUUUGACUGGGGCGGUCUCCUCCUAAAGAGUAACGGAGGAGCACGAAGGUUGGCUAAUCCUGGUCGGACAUCAGGAGGUUAGUGCAAUGGCAUAAGCCAGCUUGACUGCGAGCGUGACGGCGCGAGCAGGUGCGAAAGCAGGUCAUAGUGAUCCGGUGGUUCUGAAUGGAAGGGCCAUCGCUCAACGGAUAAAAGGUACUCCGGGGAUAACAGGCUGAUACCGCCCAAGAGUUCAUAUCGACGGCGGUGUUUGGCACCUCGAUGUCGGCUCAUCACAUCCUGGGGCUGAAGUAGGUCCCAAGGGUAUGGCUGUUCGCCAUUUAAAGUGGUACGCGAGCUGGGUUUAGAACGUCGUGAGACAGUUCGGUCCCUAUCUGCCGUGGGCGCUGGAGAACUGAGGGGGGCUGCUCCUAGUACGAGAGGACCGGAGUGGACGCAUCACUGGUGUUCGGGUUGUCAUGCCAAUGGCACUGCCCGGUAGCUAAAUGCGGAAGAGAUAAGUGCUGAAAGCAUCUAAGCACGAAACUUGCCCCGAGAUGAGUUCU
rnacentral:rRNA from 1 species